GAUGAAGCUGAAAAAUAUUUUGAAUAAUAUGUCAACAUGGAAAUUUGUUCAAAAGUAGGAUAAUCAUACUUAUCAUUAGCGUUACAAUUAACAAUCGUUGAAUAACGAAAAAAUAAAGUUUAAAUGAAAUAAUUGUUAUUAGAUUGAAACAGUAAGAACAAAAGUAGAUGCUUUACCUUCGUUUCGUCACAGGAAACAAAUUUUGUAUACGUGGUACGCAAGCAUGGCAAGCUGUGUCAUUUGCUUGACUGAAGAAUUCGUGAAUUGAUGCGACAUUUUUGAGUAAUGGCAAUUUCUACUGAUACUGGCAGGUCAUGCCGCUCAAAAACAGAUGCUGACACAGCUGUCCUAACUCCCAGAAGUAAUUAUCUGUCCUAGAGCUACAUAAAUCACUUCCGUGACCAAGAAAAUCGCAUGACCGUAGAAAAUAAAUUCUUUUCGCUGUUAUUUUUCACGUCAUCACCCAUAUUAGCAGUGCAUCUCUUAAAAUACUCAAAAGAAAUUUAAUUACUAAGCUCUGACAUCAAAUGAUGAAUAACACUUUUAAUAGAAACUUGAAAAGAAUGCUUUUGAUGUCACCUACAGGUCUCUUUACUGUAAAGGAGAUUGACAGCUGUAAGUACUGGAUAUGUCUCUUCAUUCAAUUAAAUUAUAGUCAAAUGUAGGAAAGCGUUGGGAUAUACAUAAAGUGUAUCGAAACGUUACGUUUGCGGUUGUUUGUUUUUCAUUUUGAUGCAAUACUUAUAUGAUGUUAUAAUAUGAUUGCAAUAUCAGGUGUCGCAUCUUGUCAAUGUUGAAUAUAAAAUACCCCAAAUAAAAAAUGUCCAAUCCAUCAUGCCCCUUUGAUGUUUUUCCUCUACAUGCCAAAAAAGGAGUUACAUUUCUUUGAUCGGAGUAAAAAUAUUAUAUGCUCAAAUCUAUAUACUUAUAUAAUAUUUUAGAGAUAUUUAUGUAAGAGAAAUAUAUUUUAUAUAUAUUUCAAAGCUUUUGAACAUGAAAAUAUAGGUACUGUGUUUACAAAAACUUUUGGAAUGAGAAAUAUCUUAUUAUGUGUUAACCUUUGGAAUAAGAUAUAUCUUAUUAUAUGUUACUAAUAUGCAAAUGAGCUUUUAAGUGUACUCAAAAUCAGUAGUCAAAACCUAAAAAACAGCAUUUUACUGAAACAUCCAUUGACCAGUGGACUAGACUUAAGCUCUUACAUGCUUUUAAUAACAAGAUGACACUAUAUUUAGUUUAAACAUAUCUAUUUUAUAACGUACAUUUCUGCAUGACAAUUGGCAAGUUUACGUACAAUAAGAAAAGGUUGGAACAGUAGAUUUAGAGUACGUUCAUACUCAUUCUGCGCAAUCCCAUGUAACUGACAAAUCAACAAAGUAUCACAUAUGUGGAGGACAAAUGGCACACUGUCUCGAUUGGGAUUAUGGCCGUUUUUCAACAUUAUUUCAGUUACACAACGGUGAUUCUGCAUCAGUGCGGAAUUGGUCUAAGCAAAAAAAACAA